rnacentral:rRNA from 1 species
AGAGUUUGAUCCUGGCUCAGAAUGAACGUUGGCGGCGUGGAUUAGGCAUGCAAGUCGAACGGGCCGCAAGGCCAGUGGCGCAAGGGUGAGUAAGGCGACGGUAACCAACCCCGCGGUUGGGCAUAGCCGAGGGAAACUUCGGGUAAUUCCCAGCGACGCGGCUUCCCGGCAUCGGGAGGCCGCCAAAGAUUGAUCGCCGUGGGACGGGCCGUUGUGGUAUUAGCUUGUUGGCGGGGUGACGGCCCACCAAGGCUACGAUGCCUACCGGGCGUGCGAGCGUGGCCCGGCACACUGGGACUGAGACACUGCCCAGACUCCUACGGGAGGCUGCAGUCGAGAAUCUUCGGCAAUGGGCGCAAGCCUGACCGAGCGACGCCGCGUGGAGGAUGAAGGCCUUCGGGUUGUAAACUCCUGUCGAGGGGGAGGAAGGCGCAAGCUUG